rnacentral:rRNA from 1 species
CCUACGGGAGGCAGCAGUGGGGAAUAUUGGGCAAUGGGCGCAAGCCUGACCCAGCAACGCCGCGUGACGGAAGAAGGCUUUCGGGUUGUAAACUUCUGUCAUCAGGGAAGAGUAUAAGACGGUCUCUCACGAAUAAACCACGGCUAACUACGUGCCAGCAGCCGCGGUAAUGCGUAGGUGGCAAGCGUUGUCCGGAUUUACUGGGUGGAAAGGGCGUGUAGGCGGGUUGGCAAGUCAGAUGUGAAAUCCUGGGGCUUAACCGAAGAACUGCAUUUGAAACUGUUGAUCUGGAGUACUGGAGAGGCAGACGGAAUUCCUAGUGUAGCGGUGAAAUGCGUAGAUAUUAGGAGGAACACCAGUGGCGAAGGCGGUCAGCUGGACAGCAACUGACGGUGAGGCGCGAAAGCGUGGGGAGCAAACAGGAUUAGAUACCCGUGUAGUC